rnacentral:siRNA from 1 species
UUCACUCCCGUGAUAGAAAUCCUC